rnacentral:rRNA from 1 species
AAUGAACGCUGGCGGCAUGCCUAACACAUGCAAGUCGAACGAGACCUUCGGGUCUAGUGGCGCACGGGUGCGUAACGCGUGGGAACCUGCCCUUAGGUUCGGCAUAACUCCCCGAAAGGGGUGCUAAUACCGGAUAAUGUCUUCGGACCAAAGAUUUAUCGCCUUUGGAUGGGCCCGCGUUGGAUUAGCUAGUUGGUAGGGUAAUAGCUUACCAAGGCAAGGAUCCAUAGCUGGUCUGAGAGGGCGAUCAGCAACCCUGGGACUGAGACACGGCCCAGACUCUGAAGGGAGGCAGCAGCAGGGACUCGUCCGGAAGGGGGGAGAGGGGGAUGGAGAAAAGGGGCGUGAGUGAUGAAGGUCUUCGGAUCGGAAAAAGAUGUUAGUAGGGAAGAACAAAUGUGUUAGUAACGAGGAAGGUAUUGACGGUACCGAAUAAGAAAGCCCCGGCUAACUACGUG